CGAGCCCGGAGAUAGCUGGUUCUCCCCGAAAUAGCUUUAGGGCUAGCCUCAAGGUGAGAGAUACGGAGGUAGAGCACUGAAUGUCCUAGGGGGUAUUGCACCUACCGAAGACUAUCAAACUCCGAAUGCCGUCAUCUUAUACUUGGGAGUCAGACUGUGGGUGAUAAGAUUCAUAGUCGAAAGGGCAACAGCCCAGAUCGUCAGCUAAGGUCCCUAAAUGUAAGUUAAGUGGUAAAGGAUGUGGGAUUGCACAGACAACCAGGAUGUUGGCUUAGAAGCAGCCACUCAUUCAAAGAGUGCGUAAUAGCUCACUGGUCGAGUGAUCCUGCGCCGAAGAUUUCCGGGGCUAAAACUUACUACCGAAGCUACGGCAUCAGUAAUGAUGGGUAGGGGAGCUUCCCAUACGGGUUGAAGCAUGACCGUAAGGACAUGUGGACAGUAUGGGAGUGAGAAUGUUGGCAUGAGUAGCGAGAUGUGGGUGAGAAUCCCACAGGCCGUAAACCCAAGGUUUCCAGGGGAAGGUUCGUCCGCCCUGGGUUAGUCGGGACCUAAGCUGAGGCCGAAAGGCGUAGGUGAUGGACAACAGGUUGAUAUUCCUGUACUACCGAUAACCGUUUGAGAGAAGGGAUGACACAGUAGGAUAAGCUAAGCACACUGUUGGUUAUGUGUGCCCAAGCAUUGAGGCAGGCAA
rnacentral:rRNA from 1 species